AGAGUUUGAUCCUGGCUCAAGAUGAACGCUGGCGGCAUGCCUAAUACAUGCAAGUCGAACGAGGGUCCUUCGGGACUCGAGUGGCGAACGGGUGAGUAACACGUAGGGAACCUGCCCGUGCGACCGGGAGAACUUUCGGAAACGGAAGCUGAUACCGGAUAGGGACAGAGACGGCAUCGACUCUGUGUUAAAGGAGCUGAAAGGCUCCGCGCACGGAUGGACCUGCGGUGCAUUAGCUGGUUGGUGAGGUAACGGCCCACCAAGGCGACGAUGCAUAGCCGGCCAGAGAGGGCGGACGGCCACACUGGGACUGAGACACGGCCCAGACUCCUACGGGAGGCAGCAGUAGGGAAUUUUCGUCAAUGGGCGCAAGCCUGAACGAGCAAUGCCGCGUGAACGAGGAAGGUCUUCGGAUCGUAAAGUUCUGUUGAAGGGGAAAAAGAGCGGAGAGAGGAAAUGGUCUCCGAUUGAUAUUACCCUUCGAGGAAGUCACGGCUAACUACGUGCCAGCAGCCGCGGUAAUACGUAGGUGGCGAGCGUUAUCCGGAAUGAUUGGGCGUAAAGGGUGCGUAGGCGGCCUGCUAAGUCUGGAGUGAAAGGUACCGGCUCAACCGGUACAGGCUCUGGAAACUGGCGGGCUAGAGAGCAGGAGAGGGCGGUGGAACUCCAUGUGUAGCGGUAAAAUGCGUAGAUAUAUGGAAGAACACCAGUGGCGAAGGCGGCCGCCUGGCCUGUUACUGACGCUGAGGCACGAAAGCGUGGGGAGCAAAUAGGAUUAGAUACCCUAGUAGUCCACGCCGUAAACGAUGAGGACCAAGUGUUGGGGAAGACCCAGUGCUGCAGUUAACGCAGUGAGUCCUCCGCCUGGGGAGUAUGCACGCAAGUGUGAAACUCAAAGGAAUUGACGGGGGCCCGCACAAGCGGUGGAGUAUGUGGUUUAAUUCGAAGCAACGCGAAGAACCUUACCAGGCCUUGACAUAGGGUGCGAAGCUAUGGAGACAUAGUGGAGGUAAACAUCCAUACAGGUGGUGCAUGGUUGUCGUCAGCUCGUGUCGUGAGAUGUUCAGUUAAGUCUGGCAACGAGCGCAACCCUCGUGAUGUGUUACCAAUAUCGAGUUAGGGACUCACAUCAGACUGCCGGUGAGAAACCGGAGGAAGGCGGGGAUGACGUCAAAUCAUCAUGCCCCUUAUGGCCUGGGCUACACACGUACUACAAUGGCGGCGACAGAGGGCAGCGAGCCUGCGAAGGCAAGCGAAUCCCCAAAAAGCCGUCCCAGUUCGGAUUGGAGUCUGCAACCCGACUCCAUGAAGUUGGAAUCGCUAGUAAUCGCGGAUCAGCAUGCCGCGGUGAAUACGUUCUCGGGCCUUGCACUCACCGCCCGUCA
rnacentral:rRNA from 1 species